AUUAGUUAUAGGUGCUUGCUUUCGAAAUCAAAUCGAGCAGGAGAUAUGUGAUGUUUUGUGUGAUGGCCAUUGUCUGUCUUAAACCACGGGGCAAAAAUCCCUGCCCCCUCUCAAUUUGGGACUAAUUUGCUGAAUUGUUAGGGUUUAUCCUAAAGGGACAAAUACAUGAUGCAAUGAAAGUUGGCAAAUAAAAUAACAAUUGCGAUUUAAUUUUUUGAUAGAGGCACAUCCUAUGAAAAACCUUAAGUAAUUUCCUUCUGAAACAGUAUUGUUGUGGAAAAAAAUGGAAAUACCUUGACGUUAUACCUUGUGAAAACGGGUUGAAAAACGACAAAAAUACAACUCUGAUGUCAGAGGCUGAGCAGACUCAGACUGAGUUACACCAUAACUUGACGGAUCCCUGGAAAGGUCGGCACAGGGCGAUGGCUGGGUCCCCUCCCUUCUCCCUCCCCGCAGGACGAAGCUGAAGUCGUGUCUGGGCAUGCCGGGGCUGCGCCGCCCCAUAUGAGCAUACGUGUGUCCCUGUUUCCGUGGAGAUGCUCAAAAUAUUCCCAGCUCAUUUUCCGAGCUCUGCACACCCAGCUCACCAGGAGCAGGAUGGUGGCGAGUCUGUCUUUUUCUAUCCCCUUUGCCUAGAAGGGCUCCUGGCACAUGCUGGGGACACAACCCAUGCCAGCCGCAGGCAAGGCUGCUCCAGGUGCCGUGCGGGGGACGGCCCCUCCGGGUUCUCCUUUAUUUCUCACGACACCCGUGUCAGGUGCGGCGAGAAUCAGACCAUUGUGUUCUCAAUCAAUAACUCAAGAACCAUUCCAAAGAGGAGAGCGGGAACCAAGAGCUUCAGAAUAAGUUAAAAAAACACUAAACCAAGAAAAUCCUGCAUGACAUCUAGGACAACACUUUCCGAUCCCAGCUACCUCAUUUUUACUUAAAGAGGAGAAAAAUAUACAAUUUUGUUCUUAAAUCCUGACUCUUCCAUGAUUGAUGAAGAUUUGGACCUACCAAAAGGCCAUCACUUUGGGGUAUUUUCCUCGGGUGGACAGUGGUUCAUUGCGAGCUGCUGCUUUUGCAAAGAAAAAGAGAUGUUCCAACAACAGAUUGAGCUGGCAGUGGAAGUCGCCUGGCUUGCUUUGGUAAAUGGAAAGAUGACCCAAUGACAAAUGGAAGGAUGACCCAAUGCAGACGAUCGCUCAUUUGGAACACAAAAUCCGAAGAUCUCAGGAUAGCGUCCACUGCCAGGUACUCACAAAACAGAAACUCACAUUAAGCUCCUUCGAAUAAAUAUGAAAAGUCAGACUACGAAAACUCAGAGCAACACAUAUUGAAGCCCGUGUGUCCAUGUUAUUCACUACUGCACGUGACUGUAUUUAUUGAAAUUCAUUAACUUAUCCUAAUUUAUUUAAAUAUCUUUAUCUGAUUGAUUGGAAAUUACAAAAAUGUAUAAAGGAAAUAAAAUAUCCCUAUUUACUA